rnacentral:rRNA from 1 species
AACGCUAGCUACAGGCUUAACACAUGCAAGUCGAGGGGAAACGAUAUUGGAAGCUUGCUUCCGAUAGGCGUCGACCGGCGCACGGGUGAGUAACGCGUAUCCAACCUGCCCGCCACUUGGGGAUAACCUUGCGAAAGUAAGACUAAUACCCAAUGACGUCUCUAGAAGACAUCUGAAAGAGAUUAAAGAUUUAUCGGUGAUGGAUGGGGAUGCGUCUGAUUAGCUUGUUGGCGGGGUAACGGCCCACCAAGGCGACAAUCAGUAGGGGUUCUGAGAGGAAGGUCCCCCACAUUGGAACUGAGACACGGUCCAAACUCCUACGGGAGGCAGCAGUGAGGAAUAUUGGUCAAUGGACGAGAGUCUGAACCAGCCAAGUAGCGUGCAGGAUGACGGCCCUAUGGGUUGUAAACUGCUUUUAUAAGGGAAUAAAGUGAGUCUCGUGAGACUUUUUGCAUGUACCUUAUGAAUAAGGACCGGCUAAUUCCGUGCCAGCAGCCGCGGUAAUACGGAAGGUCCGGGCGUUAUCCGGAUUUAUUGGGUUUAAAGGGAGCGUAGGCCGGAGAUUAAGCGUGUUGUGAAAUGUAGACGCUCAACGUCUGCACUGCAGCGCGAACCGGUUUCCUUGAGUACGCACAAAGUGGGCGGAAUUCGUGGUGUAGCGGUGAAAUGCUUAGAUAUCACGAAGAACUCCGAUUG